rnacentral:rRNA from 1 species
AGUCACUGACAUUAGAUACCCCGGUAGUCCAGGGUGUAAACGCUGCAGACUUGGUGUUGGGGGCCCUUUGGGGGCAUUCAGUGCCGGAGAGAAGUUGUUAAGUCUGCUACUUGGGGAGUACGUCCGCAAGGAUGAAACUUAAAGGAAUUGGCGGGGGAGCACCGCAACGGGAGGAGCGUGCGGUUUAAUUGGAUUCAGCACCGUAAAACUCACCAGGGAAGACUGUUACAUGAAGGCCGAGAUGAAGACUCUGCUAGAUUUUCAG